rnacentral:rRNA from 1 species
GAUGAACGCUGGCGGCGUGCCUAACACAUGCAAGUCGAACGGAACUAUUUUGGAAACUCCUUCGGGAGCGGAAUCUUUAGUUUAGUGGCGGACGGGUGAGUAACGCGUGAGCAAUCUGCCUUUAAGAGGGGGAUAACAGUCGGAAACGGCUGCUAAUACCGCAUAAAGCAUCAAAUUCGCAUGUUUUUGAUGCCAAAGGAGCAAUCCGCUUUUAGAUGAGCUCGCGUCUGAUUAGCUGGUUGGCGGGGUAACGGCCCACCAAGGCGACGAUCAGUAGCCGGACUGAGAGGUUGAACGGCCACAUUGGGACUGAGACACGGCCCAGACUCCUACGGGAGGCAGCAGUGGGGAAUAUUGCGCAAUGGGGGAAACCCUGACGCAGCAACGCCGCGUGAUUGAAGAAGGCCUUCGGGUUGUAAAGAUCUUUAAUCAGGGACGAAACAAAUGACGGUACCUGAAGAAUAAGCU